UCAAUACUACAACUAACCUUCCUUUUCUCUAAAAGUUCAUAUCCCGUCUCAAUUACUUAAACAACUUUUCCAUCUAACCAAACUUCCUUCCAACAUCUUAUAGUUGUUUAUCCUUUUUUAUUAGAUUUCAUUUUUGUCUAGUUUUCUGCACUUUUUUAACCAAAACAUUUUUCUGCAACCUAAAGCACAAUCAAAAGAAGAAAAUAAAAUAACAUAAUUUAUUUCAUAAAAAUUAUAUAUAAAAAAAAAACAUCCCCCCUAUUGUUAAGAAACUACAAAAGCCCCUCCUUCACUACUAAUUUUUGCAACAGCUGUUGGAACUUUCACUUUUAAUACCAACUCAACUUGAAUCAAAGGAAACAAAUGUUAUCAUGAGUUUGAUUUAAAUACAGCUUCAUUCUAACUGUUGAAGAUGAAGUUUGUUCAUUCAGCGGCAUCUCUACCAUGCAAUCUGAUUGGUCUUUCGGCAGAGAAUUUUUUUUCGUUUCAACGACCGUAAUUUCCUUGGUUAAAUGCAUAUGCAUUCGAGCAGAACCUACAAAUAGUGCUCAAGAAGCAAUGCAACUUUUGACAUCAUAAUUUUUAUUUACUUUGAUUUGUUCAUUGUAAGUGAACCUCAGUUUGUGAUGGAUAUGCGUGCAUUGGGAUACAGAGCAAAAUAGUGGGCAUGUUAUCAAACUUUAGUGAUCAUAAUUCAGUAAUGUUUCUUGAAGCAGGAGUUAAUGGCAACACUCAGCAACCUUUGACUCGAAGAAUUUUUGAACACAUCAUUGAAAUUCUUCACUUCAUAUGAAUAUGAUGUUUGUCAUUGUUAUGAUGUGCUAUGCUCAAAAUUUGUAGGAGAGAGAGAGACAUUGACUAUUUUAAGUUUAAAUAUUAAAUAAAUUAUGAAAUGUAUGGGAUUAAAAAUAAAAGUAGUUUAUCUACAAUAUUUUUGAAAAUAAUAACUACAGAGAACAGUUUGAUGAAGGAAGCAAACUCAUCAUCAAUGAAUGAAAGGACUAAUGCAACUGAAAAGAUGGAAUCUAAUCUCUCGUCAAUUCCUGAACCAUUACCACAAACUAUGAUUGGACUUGCAUCAUCGCCGCAGCAAGACAUAAUACUUUCUAAUCCUCCUCAAAGUCACAUUAUCGCAAUACUAAUGGAUGAUAUUGGAUUCACCUGAGCCUCCCUAAGGCUAAAUUUCUAUCUCCUAGUUAUAUGUUCACAUGUACUGACUUCACGUGUACUAAGGAAUGAUUUAUACAAAAUAAUUUUCUUAAAUAUGUAAGGAAUGAUUGUUUCAAGUAA